UCCCUGGUGGCUCAGAUGGUAAAGCGUCUGCCUACAAUUCAGGAGACCUGGGUUCGAUCCCUGGGUUGGGAA
rnacentral:tRNA from 1 species